rnacentral:rRNA from 1 species
AAAACUCUAAGCGGUGGAUCACUCGGCUCAUGGGUCGAUGAAGAACGCAGCAAACUGUGCGUCAUCGUGUGAACUGCAGGACACAUGAACAUCGACAUUUUGAACGCAUAUCGCAGUCCAUGCUGUUAUGUACUUUAAUUAAUUUUAUAGUGCUGCUUGGACUACAUAUGGUUGAGGGUUGUAAGACUAUGCUAAUUAAGUUGCUUAUAAAUUUUUAUAAGCAUAUGGUAUAUUAUUGGAUAAAUAUAAUAAUUUUUAUUCAUAAUAUUAAAAAAUAAAUGAAAAACAUUAUCUCACAUUUGAAUGUGAAAAACGAAGAGAAAUAUUUUCUUUUUCAAUCAAAUAAUACUGAGAAAUGUCUAGCAUAAAAAAUUGAAAUAUUUUUCAUCUAGAAUUGUCUCUUAUUAAUGAUUCGGAAAUAGAAAAAUCUUGGUUAUGUUAUUAUUCUUCGUUGGUUCGUUAAAAAUGGAUAAAUAAAAACUUUGCAUACAAGAAUUAAUAAAAAUGUUAUAACGAAUUUAAUUAAAUGUUUUAUCAUUAUAUAUAAAGAAUUUAUGGCAAGAUAAAGUUAUAUACAACCUCAACUCAUAUGGGACUACCCCCUGAAUUUAAGCAUAUUAAUUAGGGGAGGAAAAGAAACUAACAAGGAUUUUCUUAGUAGCGGCGAGCGAAAAGAAAACAGUUCAGCACUAAGUCACUUUGUCUAUAUGGCAAAUGUGAGAUGCAGUGUAUGGAGCGUCAAUAUUCUAGUAUGAGAAAUUAACGAUUUAAGUCCUUCUUAAAUGAGGCCAUUUACCCAUAGAGGGUGCCAGGCCCGUAUAACGUUAAUGAUUACUAGAUGAUGUUUCCAAAGAGUCGUGUUGCUUGAUAGUGCAGCACUAAGUGGGUGGUAAACUCCAUCUAAAACUAAAUAUAACCAUGAGACCGAUAGUAAACAAGUACCGUGAGGGAAAGUUGAAAAGAACUCUGAAUAGAGAGUUAAACAGUACGUGAAACUGCUUAGAGGUUAAGCCGAUGAACCUGAAUAUCCGUUAUGGAAAAUUCAUCAUUAAAAUUGUAAUAUUUAAAUAAUAUUAUGAGAAUAGUGUGCAUUUUUUCCAUAUAAGGACAUUGUUAUCUAUUAGCAUAUACCAAAUUUAUCAUAAAAUAUAACUUAUAGUUUAUUCCAAUUAAAUUGCUUGCAUUUUAACACAGAAUAAAUGUUAUUAAUUUGAUAAAGUGCUGAUAGAUUUAUAUGAUUACAGUGCGUUAAUUUUUCGGAAUUAUAUAAUGGCAUAAUUAUCAUUGAUUUUUGUGUUUAUUAUAUGCACUUGUAUGAUUAACAAUGCGAAAAGAUUCAGGAUACCUUCGGGACCCGUCUUGAAACACGGACCAAGGAGUCUAACAUAUGUGCAAGUUAUUGGGAUAUAAACCUAAUAGCGUAAUUAACUUGACUAAUAAUGGGAUUAGUUUUUUAGCUAUUUAUAGCUAAUUAACACAAUCCCGGGGCGUUCUAUAUAGUUAUGUAUAAUGUAUAUUUAUAUUAUUUAUGCCUCUAACUGGAACGUACCUUGAGCAUAUAUGCUGUGACCCGAAAGAUGGUGAACUAUACUUGAUCAGGUUGAAGUCAGGGGAAACCCUGAUGGAAGACCGAAACAGUUCUGACGUGCAAAUCGAUUGUCAGAAUUGAGUAUAGGGGCGAAAGACCAAUCGAACCAUCUAGUAGCUGGUUCCUUCCGAAGUUUCCCUCAGGAUAGCUGGUGCAUUUUAAUAUUAUAUAAAAUAAUCUUAUCUGGUAAAGCGAAUGAUUAGAGGCCUUAGGGUCGAAACGAUCUUAACCUAUUCUCAAACUUUAAAUGGGUAAGAACCUUAACUUUCUUGAUAUGAAGUUCAAGGUUAUGAUAUAAUGUGCCCAGUGGGCCACUUUUGGUAAGCAGAACUGGCGCUGUGGGAUGAACCAAACGUAAUGUUACGGUGCCCAAAUUAACAACUCAUGCAGAUACCAUGAAAGGCGUUGGUUGCUUAAAACAGCAGGACGGUGAUCAUGGAAGUCGAAAUCCGCUAAGGAGUGUGUAACAACUCACCUGCCGAAGCAACUAGCCCUUAAAAUGGAUGGCGCUUAAGUUGUAUACCUAUACAUUACCGCUAAAGUAGAUGAUUUAUAUUACUUGUGAUAUAAAUUUUGAAACUUUAGUGAGUAGGAAGGUACAAUGGUAUGCGUAGAAGUGUUUGGCGUAAGCCUGCAUGGAGCUGCCAUUGGUACAGAUCUUGGUGGUAGUAGCAAAUAAUCGAAUGAGACCUUGGAGGACUGAAGUGGAGAAGGGUUUCGUGUGAACAGUGGUUGAUCACGAGUUAGUCGGUCCUAAGUUCAAGGCGAAAGCCGAAAAUUUUCAAGUAAAACAAAAAUGCCUAACUAUAUAAACAAAGCGAAUUAUAAUACACUUGAAUAAUUUUGAACGAAAGGGAAUACGGUUCCAAUUCCGUAACCUGUUGAGUAUCCGUUUGUUAUUAAAUAUGGGCCUCGUGCUCAUCCUGGCAACAGGAACGACCAUAAAGAAGCCGUCGAGAGAUAUCGGAAGAGUUUUCUUUUCUGUUUUAUAGCCGUACUACCAUGGAAGUCUUUCGCAGAGAGAUAUGGUAGAUGGGCUAGAAGAGCAUGACAUAUACUGUUGUGUCGAUAUUUUCUCCUCGGACCUUGAAAAUUUAUGGUGGGGACACGCAAACUUCUCAACAGGCCGUACCAAUAUCCGCAGCUGGUCUCCAAGGUGAAGAGUCUCUAGUCGAUAGAAUAAUGUAGGUAAGGGAAGUCGGCAAAUUAGAUCCGUAACUUCGGGAUAAGGAUUGGCUCUGAAGAUUGAGAUAGUCGGGCUUGAUUGGGAAACAAUAACAUGGUUUAUGUGCUCGUUCUGGGUAAAUAGAGUUUCUAGCAUUUAUGUUAGUUACUUGUUCCCCGGAUAGUUUAGUUACGUAGCCAAUUGUGGAACUUUCUUGCUAAAAUUUUUAAGAAUACUAUUUGGGUUAAACCAAUUAGUUCUUAUUAAUUAUAACGAUUAUCAAUUAACAAUCAAUUCAGAACUGGCACGGACUUGGGGAAUCCCUAGUAGAAGUGAGCAAGACCACCAAGUAACAACAUCGGAAACAACUCCAAUCACUCCCUUCGAACAGUCGAACAGGGAAAUUUUGCGGACACUACGCGGGUAUAGCCCGUAGAAUGCAUUCCAAAUGAGAGCCCAAGAGUUGCAAACUAUCAUUGAUAGGCACAUCUCGAGGAAAGGAAACACUCUCAAUGCUUAUCGCUAUAUCUCUGGAAUUUUUCCGGCACAGGGUGUACGACACACACUGACGAGACCUCUCGGAGACCUCGGAACAGGAGAGAAAGCAGAAGGCAGCAGUACGCUGUCGUCCAGCGUAACUGGGAUAAGCAUAAAGGAAGAUGCAUCAAGUCCUUGCUAAAUGGAACUGAUGAGUCGGUAAUGCCAAGCCAAGAAAUAAUGGUUCCCUACUGGAGAGAAGUAAUGACUCAGCCUAGCCCAAGCUCUUGCAGUGGAGAAGUGAUACAAAUGGAUCACUCGCUUGAGAGGGUAUGGUCUGCUAUUACAGAGCAGGACCUUCGGGCGUCAAGAGUCUCAUUAUCCUCGUCUCCGGGGCCUGACGGGAUAACUCCAAAAUCUGCCAGGGAGGUGCCGUCAGGUAUUAUGCUGCGCAUAAUGAACCUAAUUCUAUGGUGCGGUAAUCUACCACACUCUAUACGACUGGCCAGAACUGUCUUCAUCCCGAAGACGGUGACGGCGAAGCGACCGCAAGACUUUCGUCCAAUAUCAGUGCCUUCAGUCCUGGUAAGACAGCUAAAUGCAAUAUUGGCAACCCGGUUGAACUCAUCAAUCAAUUGGGACCCGC